UACGUAGGGGGCGAGCGUUGUCCGGAGUUACUGGGCGUAAAGCGCACGCAGGCGGUCUGCUAAGUUUGGAGUGACAGUUGGUGGCUUAACUGCCAAAGUGCUUCGAAAACUGACAGACUUGAGGGCUUCAGAGGGACACGGAAUUCCGGGUGGAGUGGUGAAAUGCGUAGAGAUCCGGAGGAACACCAAUGGCGAAGGCAGCUCGCUGGGACGUGACUGACGCUGAGAACGCGAAAGCGUGGGGAGCAAACAGG
rnacentral:rRNA from 1 species